UGGGGAAUAUUGCGCAAUGGGGGGAACCCUGACGCAGCCAUGCCGCGUGAAUGAAGAAGGCCUUCGGGUUGUAAAGUUCUUUCGGUAUUGAGGAAGGUUGAUGUGUUAAUAGCACAUCAAAUUGACGUUAAAUACAGAAGAAGCACCGGCUAACUCCGUGCCAGCAGCCGCGGUAAUACGGAGGGUGCGAGCGUUAAUCGGAAUAACUGGGCGUAAAGGGCACGCAGGCGGUUAUUUAAGUGAGGUGUGAAAGCCCUGGGCUUAACCUAGGAAUUGCAUUUCAGACUGGGUAACUAGAGUACUUUAGGGAGGGGUAGAAUUCACGUGUAGCGGUGAAAUGCGUAGAGAUGUGGAGGAAUACCGAAGGCGAAGGCAGCCCCUUGGGAAUGUACUGACGCUCAUGUGCGAAAGCGUGGGGAGCAAACAGGAUUAGAUACCCUGGUAGUCCACGCUGUAAACGCUGUCGAUUUGGGGGUUGGGGUUUAACUCUGGCGCCCGUAGCUAACGUGAUAAAUCGACCGCCUGGGGAGUACGGCCGCAAGGUUA
rnacentral:rRNA from 1 species